rnacentral:rRNA from 1 species
AGAUUGAACGCUGGCGGCAGGCCUAACACAUGCAAGUCGAGCGGUAGAGAGGUGCUUGCAUCUCUUGAGAGCGGCGGACGGGUGAGUAAUGCCUAGGAAUCUGCCUAGUGGUGGGGGAUAACGUUCGGAAACGGACGCUAAUACCGCAUACGUCCUACGGGAGAAAGCGGGGGACCUUCGGGCCUCGCGCCAUUAGAUGAGCCUAGGUCGGAUUAGCUAGUUGGUGAGGUAAUGGCUCACCAAGGCGACGAUCCGUAACUGGUCUGAGAGGAUGAUCAGUCACACUGGAACUGAGACACGGUCCAGACCUCCCAGGGAGCAGCAGUGGGAAUAGUGGACAAGUGGGACGAAAGCCUGAUCCAGCCAGUCGCCGCGUGUGUAGAAGAGUCUUCGGAGUUAGUAAA